GCCAACUUGACAUACUCAGAAAACAUGUAGAGCCAACUUGACAUACUCAGAAAACAUGUAGAGCCAACUUGACAUACUCAGAAAACAUGUAGAGCCAACUUGACAUACUCAGAAAGCACCUCCACGUGUCUGUGGUUCUCUGGAGACUCAAAGUCACAAACAACGAACUGCUGCUUCAUUAGACUGUCAAUCAAAGGGAGCACAUCUAGUCACAGUUAAAACACAAGCAAAGCUACAGUACUUAACAGUGGUAUAUUCGCCCCUGGUUUGGGUUGGUUUACUGUAUAAUAAAACAAGCAAAGUGUACGUAUGGGAUGAAGAUGGUAGUAUCAUGACUAAUGCUACUUAUAACGAACUGUUUGGAUUUGAUUUAAUGUCUUCAGCCCCAAGUUGAUGUCUUGCUGCACACGCUUGAGGGCAUUAUGUGUGACUCGGACAAUUUCUACAUUUGUGAACAUCAGCCAUUUUGAAAUGAACCAUACGCCAGUUUAAAAUGACGUCAUCCAUUCUAAAAUAUAAGUCGAUUUAAAACUAAAUUAAUCAAUUUAAAAUGUA
rnacentral:sRNA from 1 species